rnacentral:rRNA from 1 species
AAAAGGUUUGGUCCUAGCCCUACUAUCAAUUAUUUCUUAAAUUACACAUGCAAGUCUCAGCAUCCCCGUGAGGACACCCUAUCCCCUUAACCAGGCUAAGGAGCUGGUAUCAGGCACAAUAUCUGCCCACAACACCUAGUCUUACCACACCCACAAGGGCAUUCAGCAGUGAUAUAUAUUGUUUAUAAGCGACAGCUUGACUCAGUUAAAGAAAGUAGAGCCGGCCAACUCGGUGCCAGCCGCCGCGGCUAAACCGCACGGGCUCAAAUUGAUAAUAAUCGGCGUUAAGCGUGAUUAAAGUUCCCAACGAUUAGAAUAAAAUCCACACUUAGCUGUGAAAAGCUUGAUGUGAGAGAAGACCAAAAACGAAAGUUAUUCUAAUUAACCACUUGAAUACACGACAGCUAGAAAACAAACUGGGA